rnacentral:lncRNA from 1 species
AUGGAAUCCGGGGCUUUAGAGCUGGAAUGAUCGCAUCCGACAUACCGUGCGUUCUCCUCCCCUUUAUGCCCGCGCCUCCGUGUACGGCCCGCCCAUAGCUCCUUCGACGGCGCCGCCUAGGAACGCGGAGAAAAUAUGACAAAGGAGCGGCCAAAAAUAAAAAGAAAGACCUUUCUUUUGAAAAAACAAACAAAUAAAAGGAAUGCAACACGAGGACUUCCUAGGAGGUCACCCAUCCUAGUACUACUCUCGCCCAAGCACGCUUAACUUCGGAGUUCUGAUGGGAUCCGGUGCUUUAGUGCUGGUAUGAUCGCAUCCGACAUACCGUGCGUUCUCCUCCCCUUUAUGCCCGCGCCUCCGUGUACGGCCCGCCCAUAGCUCCUUCGACGGCGCCGCCUAGGAACGCGGAGAAAAUAUGACAAAGGAACGGCCAAAAAUAAAAAGAAAGACCUUUCUUUUGAAAAAACAAACGCCUCCGUGUACGGCCCGCCCAUAGCUCCUUCGACGGCGCCGCCUAGGAACGCGGAGAAAAUAUGACAAAGGAACGGCCAAAAAUAAAAAGAAAGACCUUUCUUUUGAAAAAACAAACAAAAAAAAGGAAUGCAACACGAGGACUUCCCAGGAGGUCACCCAUCCUAGUACUACUCUCGCCCAAGCACGCUUAACUUCGGAGUUCUGAUGGGAUCCGGUGCUUUAGUGCUGGUAUGAUCGCAUCCGACAUACCGUGCGUUCUCCUCCCCUUUAUGCCCGCGCCUCCGUGUACGGCCCGCCCAUAGCUCCUUCGACGGCGCCGCCUAGGAACGCGGAGAAAAUAUGACAAAGGAACGGCCAAAAAUAAAAAGAAAGACCUUUCUUUUGAAAAAACAAACAAAUAAAAGGAAUGCAACACGAGGACUUCCCAGGAGGUCACCCAUCCUAGUACUACUCUCGCCCAAGCACGCUUAACUUCGGAGUUCUGAUGGGAUCCGGUGCUUUAGUGCUGGUAUGAUCGCAUUCGACAUACCGAUGCGUUCUCAUCCCCGUUAUGCGCCGCGCCUCUGUGUACGGCCCGCCCAUAGCUCCUUUGACUGCGCCUCGUAGGAUCGCGGAGAAUAUAUGACAAAGGCACGGCCAAACAUAAAACGAAAGACCUCUCUUUUGCAACAACAAACAAAAUAAAGGAAUGCAACACGAGGACUUCCCAGGAGGUCACCCAUCCUAGUACUAGUCUCGCUCAAGCACGCUGAUCUUCGGAGUUCUGAUGGGAUCCGGUGCUUUAGUGCUGGUAUGAUCGCAUCCGACAUACCGUGCGUUCUCCUCCCCUUUAUGCCCGCGCCUCCGUGUACGGCCCGCCCAUAGCUCCUUCGACGGCGCCGCCUAGGAACGCGGAGAAAAUAUGACAAAGGAACGGCCAAAAAUAAAAAGAAAGACCUUUCUUUUGAAAAAACAAACAAAAAAAAGGAAUGCAACACGAGGACUUCCCAGGAGGUCACCCAUCCUAGUACUACUCUCGCCCAAGCACGCUUAACUUCGGAGUUCUGAUGGGAUCCGGUGCUUUAGUGCUGGUAUGAUCGCAUCCGACAUACCGUGCGUUCUCCUCCCCUUUAUGCCCGCGCCUCCGUGUACGGCCCGCCCAUAGCUCCUUCGACGGCGCCGCCUAGGAACGCGGAGAAAAUAUGACAAAGGAACGGCCAAAAAUAAAAAGAAAGACCUUUCUUUUGAAAAAACAAACAAAUAAAAGGAAUGCAACACGAGGACUUCCCAGGAGGUCACCCAUCCUAGUACUACUCUCGCCCAAGCACGCUUAACUUCGGAGUUCUGAUGGGAUCCGGUGCUUUAGUGCUGGUAUGAUCGCAUCCGACAUACCGUGCGUUCUCCUCCCCUUUAUGCCCGCGCCUCCGUGUACGGCCCGCCCAUAGCUCCUUCGACGAGCCCGCCUAGGAACGCGGAGAAAAUAUGACAAAGGAACGGCCAAAAAUAAAAAGAAAGACCUUUCUUUUGAAAAAACAAACAAAUAAAAGGAAUGCAACACGAGGACUUCCCAGGAGGUCACCCAUCCUAGUACUACUCUCGCCCAAGCACGCUUAACUUCGGAGUUCUGAUGGGAUCCGGUGCUUUAGUGCUGGUAUGAUCGCAUCCGACAUACCGUGCGUUCUCCUCCCCUUUAUGCCCGCGCCUCCGUGUACGGCCCGCCCAUAGCUCCUUCGACGGCGCCGCCUAGGAACGCGGAGAAAAUAUGACAAAGGAACGGCCAAAAAUAAAAAGAAAGACCUUUCUUUUGAAAAAACAAACAAAAAAAAGGAAUGCAACACGAGGACUUCCCAGGAGGUCACCCAUCCUAGUACUACUCUCGCCCAAGCACGCUUAACUUCGGAGUUCUGAUGGGAUCCGGUGCUUUAGUGCUGGUAUGAUCGCAUCCGACAUACCGUGCGUUCUCCUCCCCUUUAUGCCCGCGCCUCCGUGUACGGCCCGCCCAUAGCUCCUUCGACGGCGCCGCCUAGGAACGCGGAGAAAAUAUGACAAAGGAACGGCCAAAAAUAAAAAGAAAGACCUUUCUUUUGAAAAAACAAACAAAUAAAAGGAAUGCAACACGAGGACUUCCCAGGAGGUCACCCAUCCUAGUACUACUCUCGCCCAAGCACGCUUAACUUCGGAGUUCUGAUGGGAUCCGGUGCUUUAGUGCUGGUAUGAUCGCAUCCGACAUACCGUGCGUUCUCCUCCCCUUUAUGCCCGCGCCUCCGUGUACGGCCCGCCCAUAGCUCCUUCGACGGCGCCGCCUAGGAACGCGGAGAAAAUAUGACAAAGGAACGGCCAAAAAUAAAAAGAAAGACCUUUCUUUUGAAAAAACAAACAAAUAAAAGGAAUGCAACACGAGGACUUCCCAGGAGGUCACCCAUCCUAGUACUACUCUCGCCCAAGCACGCUUAACUUCGGAGUUCUGAUGGGAUCCGGUGCUUUAGUGCUGGUAUGAUCGCAUCCGACAUACCGUGCGUUCUCCUCCCCUUUAUGCCCGCGCCUCCGUGUACGGUCCGCCCAUAGCUCUUUAGUUGGCGCCUCCUAGGAACGCGGAGAAAAUAUGACAAAGGAACGGCCAAAAAUAAAAAGAAAGACCUUUCUUUUGAAAAAACAAACGCCUCCGUGUACGGCCCGCCCAUAGCUCCUUCGACGGCGCCGCCUAGGAACGCGGAGAAAAUAUGACAAAGGAACGGCCAAAAAUAAAAAGAAAGACCUUUCUUUUGAAAAAACAAACAAAAAAAAGGAAUGCAACACGAGGACUUCCCAGGAGGUCACCCAUCCUAGUACUACUCUCGCCCAAGCACGCUUAACUUCGGAGUUCUGAUGGGAUCCGGUGCUUUAGUGCUGGUAUGAUCGCAUCCGACAUACCGUGCGUUCUCCUCCCCUUUAUGCCCGCGCCUCCGUGUACGGCCCGCCCAUAGCUCCUUCGACGGCGCCGCCUAGGAACGCGGAGAAAAUAUGACAAAGGAACGGCCAAAAAUAAAAAGAAAGACCUUUCUUUUGAAAAAACAAACAAAUAAAAGGAAUGCAACACGAGGAGUUCCCAGGAGGUCACCCAUCCUAGUACUACUCUCGCCCAAGCACGCUUAACUUCGGAGUUCUGAUGGGAUCCGGUGCUUUAGUGCUGGUAUGAUCGCAUCCGACAUACCGUGCGUUCUCCUCCCCUUUAUGCCCGCGCCUCCGUGUACGGCCCGCCCAUAGCUCCUUCGAUGGCGCCGCCUAGGAACGCGGAGAAAAUAUGACAAAGGAACGGCCAAAAAUAAAAAGAAAGACCUUUCUUUUGAAAAAACAAACGCCUCCGUGUACGGCCCGCCCAUAGCUCCUUCGACGGCGCCGCCUAGGAACGCGGAGAAAAUAUGACAAAGGAACGGCCAAAAAUAAAAAGAAAGACCUUUCUUUUGAAAAAACAAACAAAAAAAAGGAAUGCAACACGAGGACUUCCCAGGAGGUCACCCAUCCUAGUACUACUCUCGCCCAAGCACGCUUAACUUCGGAGUUCGGAUGGGAUCCGGUGCUUUAGUGCUGGUAUGAUCGCAUCCGACAUACCGUGCGUUCUCCUCCCCUUUAUGCCCGCGCCUCCGUGUACGGCCCGCCCAUAGCUCCUUCGACGGCGCCGCCUAGGAACGCGGAGAAAAUAUGACAAAGGAACGGCCAAAAAUAAAAAGAAAGACCUUUCUUUUGAAAAAACAAACAAAUAAAAGGAAUGCAACACGAGGACUUCCCAGGAGGUCACCCAUCCUAGUACUACUCUCGCCCAAGCACGCUUAACUUCGGAGUUCUGAUGGGAUCCGGUGCUUUAGUGCUGGUAUGAUCGCAUCCGACAUACCGUGCGUUCUCCUCCCCUUUAUGCCCGCGCCUCCGUGUACGGCCCGCCCAUAGCUCCUUCGACGGCGCCGCCUAGGAACGCGGAGAAAAUAUGACAAAGGAACGGCCAAAAAUAAAAAGAAAGACCUUUCUUUUGAAAAAACAAACAAAAAAAAGGAAUGCAACACGAGGACUUCCCAGGAGGUCACCCAUCCUAGUACUACUCUCGCCCAAGCACGCUUAACUUCGCAGUUCUGAUGGGAUCCGGUGCUUUAGUGCUGGUAUGAUCGCAUCCGACAUACCGUGCGUUCUCCUCCCCUUUAUGCCCGCGCCUCCGUGUACGGCCCGCCCAUAGCUCCUUCGACGGCGCCGCCUAGGAACGCGGAGAAAAUAUGACAAAGGAACGGCCAAAAAUAAAAAGAAAGACCUUUCUUUUGAAAAAACAAACGGCUCCGUGUACGGCCCGCCCAUAGCUCCUUCGACGGCGCCGCCUAGGAACGCGGAGAAAAUAUGACAAAGGAACGGCCAAAAAUAAAAAGAAAGACCUUUCUUUUGAAAAAACAAACAAAAAAAAGGAAUGCAACACGAGGACUUCCCAGGAGGUCACCCAUCCUAGUACUACUCUCGCCCAAGCACGCUUAACUUCGGAGUUCUGAUGGGAUCCGGUGCUUUAGUGCUGGUAUGAUCGCAUCCGACAUACCGUGCGUUCUCCUCCCCUUUAUGCCCGCGCCUCCGUGUACGGCCCGCCCAUAGCUCCUUCGACGGCGCCGCCUAGGAACGCGGAGAAAAUAUGACAAAGGAACGGCCAAAAAUAAAAAGAAAGACCUUUCUUUUGAAAAAACAAACAAAUAAAAGGAAUGCAACACGAGGACUUCCCAGGAGGUCACCCAUCCUAGUACUACUCUCGCCCAAGCACGCUUAACUUCGGAGUUCUGAUGGGAUCCGGUGCUUUAGUGCUGGUAUGAUCGCAUCCGACAUACCGUGUGUCGACGAAAGCUGGUCGGCAGUCUACCUUGGGGUAUACCCACGGUAGUAGUUUAUCGGUAGACGGUGCGCAAACUACGAACUCGAUGGUGACGCAAGACACGGACAAGCUUUUUAUCCAGGUUCGGCCGCCGAGUUGGCGUAAUACCUACGUCCUGCGUCUGGUUGUAUUGGAUUGUGUUUAGAGAUAAUCUACCCUAGGGGGUCCCCUUGCCCCUCCUUAUAUAGUCUGGAGGGCAGGGUUACAGAUCUAGAAACUAAUCCUAGCCGGUUACAAUUGCCAUAGAUAAUUCGAUAUCAAUUCCUAUUCUAACCGACUAGAAUCCUGCUUGAUCUCCACGUCCUGUUUCCUUGCGCGAAACUCGGGCUAUCGGAUCAAGCCUUGAACUCGUCUCGUAGUGGGCCAAGCUUCCUAGCUGAAGUCUAGCCGUAAGGGUAUAGGGGUUUAUACCCCCACAGCUAGUCCCCGAGCGCCAUGUAUUGUGACGCAACACUCCGUCUUGAGCUUCUUCGAUCAGCGUGGUCUGUCGUCUUCAAUGAGCGGGGAAAUCGCCCAAACGGUUCAUUGAUCAACGUUGUCAUCGAAGAAGCAGGUUGUUCGAAGAAUGCAUGGUGCUCUAAAAAAAAUUUCUUUCCUGGUGAAGUGUGCCCACUUUGCCUUUCUGAAAGGUAGAAGCAACAAAAAAGCAAGCAAAUUCACCGCUAGGUGAAGUGUGCCCACUUAGUCCCCGAGCCUGGUAGUAGGUGUCGUAGGCACGUGGUGCCAGGGUCAAAAGAAAAUUCCCCAAAGUAGUUUUGGGACUGAGAUGCAUCGUACCGAUGUAGUCCCCGAGCUUGCUGGAAGGCGAAGUAUGAGCCUUGUAGCAAGGUCUAAAAAAUUGAAUUUACCAGUCCCCGAGCAUGUCAUGCUCGUCUGCAAUCGAAAAGACCAAUCGACCAGUCCCCAGGCACUUAGUGUGCUGCCUGGAAUUACAUGUUACUAUACUGUACGACCAGUCCCCGAGCAUCGAGUGCUCAGUGGUCGGUGCAUGCUUUAAAGCUUUGAGCUGAUAGACUGAGCGACCAGUCCCCGAGCGUCGAGUGCUCGGUGGUCGGUGAAGUCUUUGAAGUUCCGAGCUGAUAAACUGGGCGACCAGUCCCCGAGCGUCGAGUGCUCGGUGGUCGGUGCAGUCUUUGAAGUUCCGAGCUAAUAAACUGGGCGACCAGUCCCCGAGCGUCGAGUGCUCGGUGGUCGGUGCAGUCUUUGAAGUUCCGAGCUAAUAAACUGGGCGACCAGUCCCCGAGCGUCGAGUGCUCGGUGGUCGGUGCAGUCCCCGGAUUGCUGACUCACUGGCGUAUGUGUCUUCUUACUUUUGAAAAGGUCUUUCAAAUUUAAAGUUGACGUGACGGGGUCUCCUGACGAUAUGUCAGACGGAUGCAUGAAAAGCUGUGCCUGGCAACUGUACAACCGCUCUUUGCNNNNNNNNNNNNNNNNNNNNNNNNNNNNNNNNNNNNNNNNNNNNNNNNNNNNNNNNNNNNNNNNNNNNNNNNNNNNNNNNNNNNNNNNNNNNNNNNNNNNCGUUCUCCUCCCCUUUAUGCCCGCGCCUCCGUGUCCGUAAAGGGCAUAGCUCCUUCGACGGCGCCGCCGUAGGAACGCUGAGAAGAUAUGACAAAGGAACGGCCAAAAAUAAAAAGAAAGACCUUUCUUUUGAAAAAACAAACAAAAAAAAGGAAUGCAACACGAGGACUUCCCAGGAGGUCACCCAUCCUAGUACUACUCUCGCCCAAGCACGCUUAACUUCGGAGUUCUGAUGGGAUCCGGUGCUUUAGUGCUGGUAUGAUCGCAUCCGACAUACCGUGCGUUCUCCUCCCCUUUAUGCCCGCGCCUCCGUGUACGGCCGGCCCAUAGCUCCUUCGACGGCGCCGCCUAGGAACGCGGAGAAAAUAUGACAAAGGAAUUUUUUUAAAUAAAAAGAAAGACCUUUCUUUUGAAAAAACAAACGAAAAAAAGGAAUGCAACACGAGGACUUCCCAGGAGGUCACCCAUCCUAGUACUACUCUCGCCCAAGCACGCUUAACUUCGGAGUUCUGAUGGGAUCCGGUGCUUUAGUGCUGGUAUGAUCGCAUCCGACAUACCGUGCGUUCUCCUCCCCUUUAUGCCCGCGCCUCCGUGUACGGCCCGCCCAUAGCUCCUUCGACGGCGCCGCCUAAGAACGCGGAAAAAAUAUGACAAAGGAACGGCCAAAAAUAAAAAAAAAAAACCUUUCUUUUGAAAAAANNNNNNNNNNNNNNNNNNNNNNNNNNNNNNNNNNNNNNNNNNNNNNNNNNNNNNNNNNNNNNNNNNNNNNNNNNNNNNNNNNNNNNNNNNNNNNNNNNNNAAAAGGAAUGCAACACGAGGACUUCCCAGGAGGUCACCCAUCCUAGUACUACUCUCGCCCAAGCACGCUUAACUUCGGAGUUCUGAUGGGAUCCGGUGCUUUAGUGCUGGUAUGAUCGCAUCCGACAUACCGUGCGUUCUCCUCCCCUUUAUGCCCGCGCCUCCGUGUUACGGCCCGCCCAUAGCUCCUUCGACGGCGCCGCCUAGGAACGCGGAGAAAAUAUGACAAAGGAACGGCCAAAAAUCAAAAGAAAGACCUUUCUUUUGAAAAAACACACGCCUCCGUGUACGGCCCGCCCAUAGCUCCUUCGACGGCGCCGCCUAGGAACGCGGAGAAAAUAUGACAAAGGAACGGCCAAAAAUAAAAAGAAAGACCUUUCUUUUGAAAAAACAAACAAAUAAAAGGAAUGCAACACGAGGACUUCCCAGGAGGUCACCCAUCCUAGUACUACUCUCGCCCAAGCACGCUUAACUUCGGAGUUCUGAUGGGAUCCGGUGCUUUAGUGCUGGUAUGAUCGCAUCCGACAUACCGUGCGUUCUCCUCCCCUUUAUGCCCGCGCCUCCGUGUACGGCCCGCCCAUAGCUCCUUCGACGGCGCCGCCUAGGAACGCGGAGAAAAUAUGACAAAGGAACGGCCAAAAAUAAAAAGAAAGACCUUUCUUUUGAAAAAACAAACAAAUAAAAGGAAUGCAACACGAGGACUUCCCAGGAGGUCACCCAUCCUAGUACUACUCUCGCCCAAGCACGCUUAACUUCGGAGUUCUGAUGGGAUCCGGUGCUUUAGUGCUGGUAUGAUCGCAUCCGACAUACCGUGCGUUCUCCUCCCCUUUAUGCCCGCGCCUCCGUGUACGGCCCGCCCAUAGCUCCUUCGACGGCGCCGCCUAGGAACGCGGAGAAAAUAUGACAAAGGAACGGCCAAAAAUAAAAAGAAAGACCUUUCUUUUGAAAAAACAAACGCCUCCGUGUACGGCCCGCCCAUAGCUCCUUCGACGGCGCCGCCUAGGAACGCGGAGAAAAUAUGACAAAGGAACGGCCAAAAAUAAAAAGAAAGACCUUUCUUUUGAAAAAACAAACAAAAAAAAGGAAUGCAACACGAGGACUUCCCAGGAGGUCACCCAUCCUAGUACUACUCUCGCCCAAGCACGCUUAACUUCGGAGUUCUGAUGGGAUCCGGUGCUUUAGUGCUGGUAUGAUCGCAUCCGACAUACCGUGCGUUCUCCUCCCCUUUAUGCCCGCGCCUCCGUGUACGGCCCGCCCAUAGCUCCUUCGACGGCGCCGCCUAGGAACGCGGAGAAAAUAUGACAAAGGAACGGCCAAAAAUAAAAAGAAAGACCUUUCUUUUGAAAAAACAAACAAAUAAAAGGAAUGCAACACGAGGACUUCCCAGGAGGUCACCCAUCCUAGUACUACUCUCGCCCAAGCACGCUUAACUUCGGAGUUCUGAUGGGAUCCGGUGCUUUAGUGCUGGUAUGAUCGCAUCCGACAUACCGUGCGUUCUCCUCCCCUUUAUGCCCGCGCCUCCGUGUACGGCCCGCCCAUAGCUCCUUCGACGGCGCCGCCUAGGAACGCGGAGAAAAUAUGACAAAGGAACGGCCAAAAAUAAAAAGAAAGACCUUUCUUUUGAAAAAACAAACGCCUCCGUGUACGGCCCGCCCAUAGCUCCUUCGACGGCGCCGCCUAGGAACGCGGAGAAAAUAUGACAAAGGAACGGCCAAAAAUAAAAAGAAAGACCUUUCUUUUGAAAAAACAAACAAAAAAAAGGAAUGCAACACGAGGACUUCCCAGGAGGUCACCCAUCCUAGUACUACUCUCGCCCAAGCACGCUUAACUUCGGAGUUCUGAUGGGAUCCGGUGCUUUAGUGCUGGUAUGAUCGCAUCCGACAUACCGUGCGUUCUCCUCCCCUUUAUGCCCGCGCCUCCGUGUACGGCCCGCCCAUAGCUCCUUCGACGGCGCCGCCUAGGAACGCGGAGAAAAUAUGACAAAGGAACGGCCAAAAAUAAAAAGAAAGACCUUUCUUUUGAAAAAACAAACAAAUAAAAGGAAUGCAACACGAGGACUUCCCAGGAGGUCACCCAUCCUAGUACUACUCUCGCCCAAGCACGCUUAACUUCGGAGUUCUGAUGGGAUCCGGUGCUUUAGUGCUGGUAUGAUCGCAUCCGACAUACCGUGCGUUCUCCUCCCCUUUAUGCCCGCGCCUCCGUGUACGGCCCGCCCAUAGCUCCUUCGACGGCGCCGCCUAGGAACGCGGAGAAAAUAUGACAAAGGAACGGCCAAAAAUAAAAAGAAAGACCUUUCUUUUGAAAAAACAAACAAAAAAAAGGAAUGCAACACGAGGACUUCCCAGGAGGUCACCCAUCCUAGUACUACUCUCGCCCAAGCACGCUUAACUUCGGAGUUCUGAUGGGAUCCGGUGCUUUAGUGCUGGUAUGAUCGCAUCCGACAUACCGUGCGUUCUCCUCCCCUUUAUGCCCGCGCCUCCGGGUACGGUCCUCCCAUAGCUCCGUCAACGGCCCGCCUAGGAACGCGGAGAAAAUAUGACAAAGGAACGGCCAAAAAUAAAAAGAAAGCCCUUUCUUUUGAAAAGACAACCGAAUAAAAGGAAUGCCACGCGAGGACUUCCCAGGAGGUCACCCAUCAUAGUACUACUCUCGCCCAAGCACGCUUAACUUCGGAGUUCUGAUGGGAUCCGGUGCUUUAGUGCUGGUAUGAUCGCAUCCGACAUACCGCGCGUUCUCCUCCCCUUAAGGCCCGCGCCUCCGUGUACGGCCCGCCCAUAGCUCCUUAGACGGCACCUCCUAGGAACGCGGAGAAAAUAUGACAAAGGAACGGCCAAAAAUAAAAAGAAAGACCUUUCUUUUGAAAAAACAAACGCCUCCGUGUACGGCCCGCCCAUAGCUCCUUCGACGGCGCCGCCUAGGAACGCGGAGAAAAUAUGACAAAGGAACGGCCAAAAAUAAAAAGAAAGACCUUUCUUUUGAAAAAACAAACAAAAAAAAGGAAUGCAACACGAGGACUUCCCAGGAGGUCACCCAUCCUAGUACUACUCUCGCCCAAGCACGCUUAACUUCGGAGUUCUGAUGGGAUCCGGUGCUUUAGUGCUGGUAUGAUCGCAUCCGACAUACCGUGCGUUCUCCUCCCCUUUAUGCCCGCGCCUCCGUGUACGGCCCGCCCAUAGCUCCUUCGACGGCGCCGCCUAGGAACGCGGAGAAAAUAUGACAAAGGAACGGCCAAAAAUAAAAAGAAAGACCUUUCUUUUGAAAAAACAAACGCCUCCGCGUACGGCCCGCCCAUAGCUCCUUCGACGGCGCCGCCUAGGAACGCGGAGAAAAUAUGACAAAGGAACGGCCAAAAAUAAAAAGAAAGACCUUUCUUUUGAAAAAACAAACAAAAAAAAGGAAUGCAACACGAGGACUUCCCAGGAGGUCACCCAUCCUAGUACUACUCUCGCCCAAGCACGCUUAACUUCGGAGUUCUGAUGGGAUCCGGUGCUUUAGUGCUGGUAUGAUCGCAUCCGACAUACCGUGCGUUCUCCUCCCCUUUAUGCCCGCGCCUCCGUGUACGGCCCGCCCAUAGCUCCUUCGACGGCGCCGCCUAGGAACGCGGAGAAAAUAUGACAAAGGAACGGCCAAAAAUAAAAAGAAAGACCUUUCUUUUGAAAAAACAAACAAAUAAAAGGAAUGCAACACGAGGACUUCCCAGGAGGUCACCCAUCCUAGUACUACUCUCGCCCAAGCACGCUUAACUUCGGAGUUCUGAUGGGAUCCGGUGCUUUAGUGCUGGUAUGAUCGCAUCCGACAUACCGUGCGUUCUCCUCCCCUUUAUGCCCGCGCCUCCGUGUACGGCCCGCCCAUAGCUCCUUCGACGGCGCCGCCUAGGAACGCGGAGAAAAUAUGACAAAGGAACGGCCAAAAAUAAAAAGAAAGACCUUUCUUUUGAAAAAACAAACAAAUAAAAGGAAUGCAACACGAGGACUUCCCAGGAGGUCACCCAUCCUAGUACUACUCUCGCCCAAGCACGCUUAACUUCGGAGUUCUGAUGGGAUCCGGUGCUUUAGUGCUGGUAUGAUCGCAUCCGACAUACCGUGCGUUCUCCUCCCCUUUAUGCCCGCGCCUCCGUGUACGGCCCGCCCAUAGCUCCUUCGACGGCGCCGCCUAGGAACGCGGAGAAAAUAUGACAAAGGAACGGCCAAAAAUAAAAAGAAAGACCUUUCUUUUGAAAAAACAAACGCCUCCGUGUACGGCCCGCCCAUAGCUCCUUCGACGGCGCCGCCUAGGAACGCGGAGAAAAUAUGACAAAGGAACGGCCAAAAAUAAAAAGAAAGACCUUUCUUUUGAAAAAACAAACAAAAAAAAGGAAUGCAACACGAGGACUUCCCAGGAGGUCACCCAUCCUAGUACUACUCUCGCCCAAGCACGCUUAACUUCGGAGUUCUGAUGGGAUCCGGUGCUUUAGUGCUGGUAUGAUCGCAUCCGACAUACCGUGCGUUCUCCUCCCCUUUAUGCCCGCGCCUCCGUGUACGGCCCGCCCAUAGCUCCUUCGACGGCGCCGCCUAGGAACGCGGAGAAAAUAUGACAAAGGAACGGCCAAAAAUAAAAAGAAAGACCUUUCUUUUGAAAAAACAAACAAAUAAAAGGAAUGCAACACGAGGACUUCCCAGGAGGUCACCCAUCCUAGUACUACUCUCGCCCAAGCACGCUUAACUUCGGAGUUCUGAUGGGAUCCGGUGCUUUAGUGCUGGUAUGAUCGCAUCCGACAUACCGUGCGUUCUCCUCCCCUUUAUACCCGCGCCUCCGUGUACGGCCCGCCCAUAGCUCCUUCGACGGCGCCGCCUAGGAACGCGGAGAAAAUAUGACAAAGGAACGGCCAAAAAUAAAAAGAAAGACCUUUCUUUUGAAAAAACAAACAAAUAAAAGGAAUGCAACACGAGGACUUCCCAGGAGGUCACCCAUCCUAGUACUACUCUCGCCCAAGCACGCUUAACUUCGGAGUUCUGAUGGGAUCCGGUGCUUUAGUGCUGGUAUGAUCGCAUCCGACAUACCGUGCGUUCUCCUCCCCUUUAUGCCCGCGCCUCCGUGUACGGCCCGCCCAUAGCUCCUUCGACGGCGCCGCCUAGGAACGCGGAGAAAAUAUGACAAAGGAACGGCCAAAAAUAAAAAGAAAGACCUUUCUUUUGAAAAAACAAACGCCUCCGUGUACGGCCCGCCCAUAGCUCCUUCGACGGCGCCGCCUAGGAACGCGGAGAAAAUAUGACAAAGGAACGGCCAAAAAUAAAAAGAAAGACCUUUCUUUUGAAAAAACAAACAAAAAAAAGGAAUGCAACACGAGGACUUCCCAGGAGGUCACCCAUCCUAGUACUACUCUCGCCCAAGCACGCUUAACUUCGGAGUUCUGAUGGGAUCCGGUGCUUUAGUGCUGGUAUGAUCGCAUCCGACAUACCGUGCGUUCUCCUCCCCUUUAUACCCGCGCCUCCGUGUACGGCCCGCCCAUAGCUCCUUCGACGGCGCCGCCUAGGAACGCGGAGAAAAUAUGACAAAGGAACGGCCAAAAAUAAAAAGAAAGACCUUUCUUUUGAAAAAACAAGCAAAAAAAAGGAAUGCAACACGAGGACUUCCCAGGAGGUCACCCAUCCUAGUACUACUCUCGCCCAAGCACGCUUAACUUCGGAGUUCUGAUGGGAUCCGGUGCUUUAGUGCUGGUAUGAUCGCAUCCGACAUACCGUGCGUUCUCCUCCCCUUUAUGCCCGCGCCUCCGUGUACGGCCCGCCCAUAGCUCCUUCGACAGCGCCGCCUAGGAACGCGGAGAAAAUAUGACAAAGGAACGGCAAAAAAUAAAAAGAAAGACCUUUCUUUUGAAAAAACAAACAAAAAAAAGGAAUGCAACACGCGGACUUCCCAGGAGGUCACCCAUCCUAGUACUACUCUCGCCUAAGCACGCUUAACUUCGGAGUNN